CUCUGCAGAGUCCUCUUUCGGUAAACUCCGAAUUUCUGGCGGGGCUUUUCGUGGCAGCAAAACGCCAAUCAAUUUCCAUCACGUUGAGCGUGACCAAACUGCAGUCCCGUGCAAGGGCCAUCCGCUUCCUUGAAAACCAUCUUUCAGAUGCUUCCCGCCCCGAAUCCUAAAAACAGGAAGCACGACACACUUAAGAUUUCUUCAGGGUGGUUUUUAUUUUUUUUUUUUUAAUUAUUUUUUAAAAAUGUUGUAAUACUUUCUUUCGUCAAGGAAAUUUUUAUUAGCAUUUGCAAAAUCUCCUGGCAUUGCGCUACCUCUAUUCAAGGGUAAGAGCCCCAACUGUGGCUACCUCAGUGGUGCCAGGGAGAUGGCUGAGGCCAGAGGGAUGACUGUGUAAGUGCUGUUUAUUUGACAAACGUGUAGGGCUCUAGGAGGGAGGACUCUUAAGCCCCUGGCUUUGAGAAGACACUUCUCUAUUUAUUGGAGACUGACAAUUAAACAUUAUUUAAGAGAGUCCUCCCAUCUGCUGUGAGUGGGAAUAGGGUUGCAGAAGAAGAGGGAGAGAAGAAGCAGACUUUCCACUGAGCGAGGAGCCCAACAGGAUUGCGGGAGUGUUACCUGCGGCUGGUUUUCACACAGGUGUAUGUCAUUAGAAUGCUUAUGGGCAAGCAGCUUAGAAGGUAUAAAGAAUCUUUUGGCUGCAAAACUGAGGCAAGAAGAGAAAACAAAUGGAAACUGAAAGCGGUACCCAAAGUUCUUGGAUGAAGCACACAUCUCCCCUUGCUGUUCACUCUGAUGUUGCCCACUCUUCUGGCUGAUGUACUCCUGCCAAGUGCUGCUUUGAGGGUGGCUAACCUAUGGUAGAGGGGAUCAUGUGACCUAGUUAGUCUCUUCAGGGUAUAUUAAAAAUGUGUAGAACUGGUCUGAAUUGUAAAAGGCAAGAAAAUGCAAAUAUUAUAUUAAAACUUAUAAAUUAUUUUUGUCCAUUGUUCUACCUUUUUUUAUGACUUAUUCAAAAUAGAUUUCCACUGUAUUCCAUUGCAGCUAGUACCCUAGACACUUGUUUUCCAUUUUCAGUCAAAAAUCUUCCAUUAAUAAAAGCAAAUUGAAAUAGUUAGCUUAUUUAUCUCUUUGCCUCAGUUCCUUUAUAAAAGUGAGCGUGUUCACAUUAAUCUCCACAUAGUUUCUUCUUAGUCUGUUAAUUUUUGGCUUGAGAGAAAAACAGGGAAAGGAAGACAGAGAGAAUGUGUGUGUGUGUGUGUGUGUGUGUGUGUGUGUGUUGACAAUUAGGCCCUUUCAUGAGGGAAAAAUAUUUUUUCCUAAACAUUUGGAAAAACCUAGAAACAACAUUUUAAUGGAAUUAGUAUAAAUAGAGGUCAUUACUUAUUAUUUAAAUGCCUGGGUUUUCUUAAGGAUUGAUAUAUCAAACUAUGUGAAUUAAAUUUAGGAACUUCUAAGUUAAGAAUUUUCCAUUAGAAAACAUCCAUAAAGAUAACAGGAAGUCGAAAUAAUCCCCAAUCACCUGUUUAUUAGGCUCCAAAUGAAAAUCAUAAAUUGUGCAUGAAAAAAUAGGUGGAUGAGAUGUGUGGUUAAGUAGAAGACCCGGCACUUUGAAG
rnacentral:lncRNA from 1 species